rnacentral:lncRNA from 1 species
AAAAAUUGUUUGUGAUAAAAAAAAAAAAAAAACGUUACGUGAUGACAGCGUUUCUUUGUUUACAUUGAAUAUGACGUCAUAACUUAAAUAACGUCACAACUAAAAUCCCUAACAACAGAACCAAAAUCGGAAACGUUACGGUAUUUCCGUUUCUCGUUCAACAUGUUUGAUUUAUAAAAAAAAAUCAUACAGACAUCGUCCCCA